CCUACGGGGGCAGCAGUAGGGAAUUUUGCGCAAUGGGCGAAAGCCUGAACCAGCCAAGUAGCGUGAAGGAUGACUGCCCUAUGGGUUGUAAACUUCUUUUAUAUGGGAAUAAAAUGUUCCACGUGUGGGAUUUUGUAUGUACCAUAUGAAUAAGGAUCGGCUAACUCCGUGCCAGCAGCCGCGGUAAUACGGAGGAUCCGAGCGUUAUCCGGAUUUAUUGGGUUUAAAGGGAGCGUAGGUGGAUUGUUAAGUCAGUUGUGAAAGUUUGCGGCUCAACCGUAAAAUUGCAGUUGAAACUGGCAGUCUUGAGUACAGUAGAGGUGGGCGGAAUUCGUGGUGUAGCGGUGAAAUGCUUAGAUAUCACGAAGAACUCCGAUUGCGAAGGCAGCUCACUGGACUGCAACUGACACUGAGGCUCGAAAGUGUGGGUAUCAAACAGGAUUAGAUACCCUAGUAGUC
rnacentral:rRNA from 1 species